AAUGACUUAGUGGCGGACGGGUGAGUAACGCGUGAGGAACCUGCCUGUAUCAGGGGGACAACAGUUAGAAAUGACUGCUAAUACCGCAUGGUGAGAACAUCAAAGAUUUAUCGCUGAAAGAUGGGCUCGCGUCCGAUUAGAUAGUUGGUGAGGUAACGGCCCACCAAGUCGACGAUCAGUAGCCGGACUGAGAGGUUGAACGGCCACAUUGGGACUGAGACACGGCCCAGACUCCUACGGGAGGCAGCAGUGGGGAAUAUUGCGCAAUGGGGGCAACCCUGACGCAGCAACGCCGCGUGAAGGAAGAAGGUCUUCGGAUUGUAAACUUUUGUCUUAUGGGAAGAUAAUGACGGUACCAUAGGAGGAAGCUCCGGCUAACUACGUG
rnacentral:rRNA from 1 species